rnacentral:rRNA from 1 species
AGUGAACGCUGGCGGUAGGCCUAACACAUGCAAGUCGAACGGCAGCACAGUAAGAGCUUGCUCUUACGGGUGGCGAGUGGCGGACGGGUGAGGAAUGCAUCGGAAUCUACUUUUUCGUGGGGGAUAACGUAGGGAAACUUACGCUAAUACCGCAUACGACCUACGGGUGAAAGCAGGGGAUCUUCGGACCUUGCGCGAUUGAAUGAGCCGAUGUCGGAUUAGCUAGUUGGCGGGGUAAAGGCCCACCAAGGCGACGAUCCGUAGCUGGUCUGAGAGGAUGAUCAGCCACACUGGAACUGAGACACGGUCCAGACUCCUACGGGAGGCAGCAGUGGGGAAUAUUGGACAAUGGGCGCAAGCCUGAUCCAGCCAUACCGCGUGGGUGAAGAGGGCCUUCGGGUUGUAAAGCCCUUUUGUUGGGAAAGAAAAGCAGCAGGUUAAUACCCCGCUGUUCUGACGGUACCCAAAGAAUAAGCACCGGCUAACUUCGUG